GUUUGAACAAAGACUCGAGCCUCUGGCUUUUAAAGCGAAACCACUUUGUGCCCUUGAAGAGAGAAAGCUGGUUCAUCAGAAUCCAGAAAUCGCUGCCUUGACCGAAUGCUGCAGAUGAAGGAGAAGAAGAACAGUUCCUCUCCUCUUUCUCUCUUUGGAGGCUGAAACUGCAGCAGAUGGACACUCUCCAAAGCUGAAAGUUUGCGUGACCCGGCCGAGAGAAAGAACAGCUGGAUGGCAGCCUGAGGCUUCAGUGGAUUUGAUGUGGCAGACAUGAAGAACCAGCACCAGUAUGGACGAAGUCAUCUGGAGAGACUGGUCUGCGUGGCUCUGUCCGCUCUGGCGUUGGUUCUGCUGGGACUUCUGGGUUCGGUCACAGGCUGUCCUGGUGUCUGCACCUGCUACGGCAAUACGACUGACUGCACCGC